UGAGGACAGGACCUUCCUAUGCCUACCAGCCAGCAACUGAAGGAGAAGUCUGUGUGAGUUCAUGGCUUGUGGUGAGGGAAAAACCUCCUGACCUCCUCGCUGCAGUGCUGGGUGUCUGUCUGCCUCCUGGGGAGGUUCGAACCUAGAAGAGAAAUAUGCUGGAGAGAUCUUUAUUGUAAGAACAGGCAGCAGGAGCACACUUGCCAUCCCUGCGCAGCUCCGGGCUGUCGGUAGGAUCUCGAUGUGGCUGCAGUUUGGGGUCCAUCCUGGCGGAACUGGCUGGGGACCCAGAGCUGCCUCCCUGCUGCUCGUGGACACCAUCAGCAGGGUUUGAGUUGGGCUGACACCCACGCCUUCACACCAGCUUGGCAAGGAGCAGACAGGACCCUGGUAUUCUGGGGAUGCUCUGCUCCUGGCAGACUGGGAUGCAUUUCCUUGGGGAGAGCAGCUGGCUUGUUCCUCUUGGUGUCAGGAAGCUGGGUGAAGUGAGUGCCCUGCCACCAGCUGGGCACUCACAGAGAACUCACUGGAUGCAAUGGGGAAGGUGCAAGGAUCUUGCUCACUUCCACACAGCAAGGCAAGCUGAGUUGCAUGCCACAGCCAAACGAGUGCUUCUGAGCUCCUGCAGGCACUAAAGGAAAGAGCCUGGCUCAGAAAAAAUGUGAUGAAGCCAAGCUCAGACACUAGCACAGCUCUGGCUUCUCCUUCAGAUCAGUGCCUUAGCCAUCAUCCCAGUCCUGAGGACAGCUCAGUGCCUCUGUCUGUCACCCCACUGUCCUUCCAGUAGCACCUGUGGCUGGUUAUCACGCUGGAACUCCCCAGCCUUGGGCAUCCUCCUUUCCCCUUCUGAUGCAGGCUGAGAUGUGGAGCAGCUUGUGGUGGAAGAGCACAGAUGGGGGCAGCGGGAGGUGUUCAGCUUGCUGAGCGCAGGGAAUAGAUCGGUGUUUGGGAGUGAAGAUUUUCUUUGGCAAACACAGAAAGCACGUUAUCUGCUGUGCAAAAAGGUGAAUGCAAACCGGGCCAGCUAUUUCAGCAGGGAGCUGUACACAGCCACCACAGCUGCACUAGCAUCCGGUCACAGAAGUGAGAAGCCCUUGGUUCUGCAGAGCAAUGAUGAGGUGUGCUGGUGUGAAGAGCAUCCCUCAGCACCAGGGACAGGCAGCGAGGAUCCGGGUCAGUGUGAUGGGAAGGCUGUGGUGACUCUGCUCUGGCUGCAUUUCAAAGGCAUCACUGGCACAGAAAGGAACAAAGCAUACUUUUUUUAAGCUGACAGUGAACAGAGAAGGCUGCAGAACUGAAAGCACUGAAGUUGAAGGAUGGUGUCUCAGCAAAGGGCCAAAACUAUCUUCGACUUCAAGCUUAAGCUCCUAUUAGGCAAAGAAAAUACAGCACAGAUAAUGCUUAUGUAGCACCUCUCAUGCAAACAUCCCAGCACACUUAACAAUCAAACUCAAACACAAUCAAUCAUGGAGAUGUGAGCAGCAUUCACCAAGGAAAACAGAGCAAGCAAGGCUUGGAAAGGAGGGGUGCCACAACCACUGAGAGCCCGUGGUUUCUAAAUGGUUUCCAUCUGGAAAGUGCCUUGUGGAUGGAGAGAGCUGGGGUAGAUGGACCCCAGGGUGAAAAGCAGGCAGAUAAUGAUGGACAAGCAGAUGCCACCGGGUUGUAGGUAUUGUUCUGAGACAGGAGGGCAAGCUGGGAAGACGGGGAGGUCUCCCAGGUCCAGACGGGUGCCUUACAGGGGUAUCUCAGACCCAUCAAGUGUGCAACCACAGGCAGUGUGCUCUGAAGGGCACCUGUUGUCCUUGUCUCCUCCUGAUUCCAAGUGAGGAUGAGGUGCAAGUUGUGCCUGCGUGCUACCACAUCCAUGGCAAAGAGACUGAGCUGUGUGGGCAGGCAUCUAUCUGUGAUUGCAACAGAGUAGUGGACCCAGAAAUCAUACUAUGACUGAGCAAAAUGUCACUCAGACAAAAAGGUCUGGCAAGAGCUGUGAAGGGUCAGGGUCUCUCUCCACUAACUGCAUGCUGAGGUUAGGUGACUGUUUCCAGAUUCUCAAUUCUGCAGAAGGCAUCCAUGCCAUAGUCUUGCAUGAGAAAGGCAGGUUUCCUUGCAAUCAAAGUGAAAUGGAUGAUUAAUACAAUUGCUAGAACUAGAUGAGUUAUUUUUUUAAGUAACGUAAUUAUUUUAAAUAAUUAAGAACAACUCAGUGUCAUUGUUCUUGCUCCAAUGAAUAAUGGAACACCUGCUAAAACAUGGAACUUUAUGACCAUGAAAGAUUCCCUCCAAUCUGAUGCGGCUCAGGAGCAAGGACACUCUCAAGGCAUAUUUGAUCUCAUUUCAGACCUCUGCUCAGGAUGCUGUGAUUUCCAUGUUGCAUGUCCAAAUAAUUGCCCAAAGCUUUGGGCAACUGGGCAUGCAGGGGCAAUGCUCACCAACUUUGUCUGGGGCCUUGGUUCAAAUUAAACACUUUCUUCAAACGGGGAGGAAAAAAAAAAACAAUGGUCUUCAUCAAAUAGUCUGGAAGUAUUCAGCUUGAAUCAGGCAGUGACUUGGUGAGCUUAAGGAAAAAGGUAUGAAAAAAGGAAAGGACAGCCAGUUUUGUUAUACCUGAGCAAUUAAUUCAGUUAGCUAUUGUUUAUAGCUGUCAAAUACUAAUUUGCUGUCUGUGAGAACAUUUUGGGAACCUUCUACGAUUGCCCUAGAAUAAACCCCAUUUCCUGGUUAUGAGUAAAAGCAUUUUCUGCAGUUUUGAAAUAUCUAAAUUCUGCUUCUGUUUUUUUGUGUUUUUUUUUUUUUUUUUUUUUUUUUUUUUACUUUUAAUGAGGGAACUACACUUGGUUCCUCAAAAGGACUGUUGGCCUUGGCCGGUGCAUGUGGCAGCAUAUACGUGGUAUGAAAGUACAGAUCCAGUCUAAAUCUGCAGGACACCUGGAACCCAGUUGAGCUUUGCUCACUGCACUUGCUAGAAUUGAUGAUUUAUAGAGAUAAUCCUCAGACAUUUCAAGCUGGGCUGAAGACAGACAAAUUUCCAGCCCAUGCCAUCAAUUCCAUUCAUCUGGAACAGGUGCCAAGCUUAUGAAAUCCUCCUGCAAUGUGGUAGACACCACAGUAUGCUUCAUUAACAGCCAACCAAGCAACUUGCCAUCUCCAGCUCACAGGCACUGAAAACAAUCUGGAGAUCAGAGACCCAAACCUGUGAAGCAAAGAAGGAAAAGUUUCAAAGGCAGCUGGACUCCCACAGGAGGGGAUUUAGGCAGACAAUGCUGGACUCUGUGAAACCUGCUCCCAGACCCUGUUAUCCUCACUCAUUUGAGUGAACGCAGCUGUCUGUCUUUUCUAAUUCAGGGGUACAAUGCUGUGGCUAGAAGUGCUAGACGUGGCCAUGUCAGUCUUGUUAAAAACAACAUACAAUAAAUUGCCAAAUGCCAUUUACCCUGGAUAACCUUCUUAGCUGAAACUGUCCAUAUCUACUGCAGUUGCUUGUGCGUCAGUCGACUUUGAUGUAUCCUUCUGCUCUUUCAGCCCAGAUGUUGUCAUAGAUUUGCUGACGAUGACUGCAAAAAGGCUUUGAAAUGCACUCUGGCAAGAAAUACUUUCCCAUCCUGUCUCAGAUAGGGUCUGCUUUCUUUUCACCUCACAUUUUUUAUUACUAAGGCCAUUCAGAUGAAUAAAGGCUCUUUGUUCAUUUAGCAAUUUCUCUGCUUGCUGAUGGUGUUUUAUUUUCCAAAACAUAAGUUGAAAUGACAUCUGCAGCAGCUCAAUAGAUGAAGCAGGUCUCAAACACCAUAGUGACAGACUGCCUGUGCCUGGGCACUGUUGCUCUCAGCAGUAUGAACAGUGCAGGAGUCUUACCAGAAACACUCUUCAAGCACAGAAAAAAAAAGUUCAAAAGUUACAUGUUAGGAUGUUUGAGAAUGCUCUGAAAUUCUCUCUCACAUACUAUGGAAAGAUAUUCUCUUUAAGGGAAGCUGUGCA